rnacentral:rRNA from 1 species
CGGGAUGUAAACUUCGCAAGAACGAGAAGAAUAAGUCUGUGCUAAUACCACAGGUGAUGACGGUACCGUUUGUAAGCUCCGGCUAACUCCGUGC